UGGGGAAUAUUGCACAAUGGGCGCAAGCCUGAUGCAGCGACGCCGCGUGGGGGAUGACGGCCUUCGGGUUGUAAACUCCUUUCGCCAGGGACGAAGCGUUUUGUGACGGUACCUGGAGAAGAAGCACCGGCUAACUACGUGCCAGCAGCCGCGGUAAUACGUAGGGUGCAAGCGUUGUCCGGAAUUACUGGGCGUAAAUAAAGAGCUCGUAGGUGGUUUGUCACGUCGUCUGUGAAAUUCCACAGCUUAACUGUGGGCGUGCAGGCGAUACGGGCUGACUUGAGUACUGUAGGGGUAACUGGAAUUCCUGGUGUAGCGGUGAAAUGCGCAGAUAUCAGGAGGAACACCGAUGGCGAAGGCAGGUUACUGGGCAGUUACUGACGCUGAGGAGCGAAAGCAUGGGUAGCAAACAGGAUUAGAUACCCUGGUAGUCCAUGCCGUAAACGGUGGGCGCUAGGUGUAGGGGCCUUUUGGGGUUUCUGUGCCGUAGCUACGCAUUAAGCGCCCCGCCUGGGGAGUACGGCCGCAAGGCUA
rnacentral:rRNA from 1 species